GAUGAACGCUGGCGGCGUGCCUAAUACAUGCAAGUCGAGCGAACAGACGAGGAGCUUGCUCCUUCGACGUUAGCGGCGGACGGGUGAGUAACACGUAGGUAACCUACCUAUAAGACUGGGAUAACUUCGGGAAACCGGAGCUAAUACCGGAUAAUAUUUCGAACCGCAUGGUUCGAUAGUGAAAGAUGGCUUUGCUAUCACUUAUAGAUGGACCUGCGCCGUAUUAGCUAGUUGGUAAGGUAACGGCUUACCAAGGCAACGAUCCGUAGCCGACCUGAGAGGGUGGUCGGCCACACUGGAACGGAGACACGGUCCAGAGUCCUACGGGAGGCAGCAGUAGGGAAUGUUCCGCAAUGGGCGAAAGCCUGACGGAGUAACGCCGAGUGAGUGAUGAAGGUCUUCGGAUCGUAAAACUCUGUUAUUAGGGAAGAACAAACGUGUAAGUAACUGUGCACGUCUUGACGGUACCUAAUCAGAAAGCCACGGCUAACUACGUG
rnacentral:rRNA from 1 species